rnacentral:rRNA from 1 species
GAUGAACGCUGGCGGCAUGCCUAACACAUGCAAGUCGGACGGGAAGUGGUGUUUCCUGUGGCGGUCGGGUUAGUAACGCGUAAGAACCUGACCUGUGGAGGGGCAAACCAGCUGGAAACGGUUACUAAUACACCGUAGGGCUAGUAGCAGAAAGAGGAAUCCACCCGAGGGGGGGCUCGCGUCUGACUAGCUAGUUGUUGAGUCAAUAGCUUACCACGGCGAGUAACAGUAGCGGCUCCGAGAGGAAGACCCGCCACACUGCGACGGAGACACGGAGCAGACUCCCUCCGGAGGCAGCAGUGGGCAAGUUGCCGCAAUGCGCGAAAGGUUGAGAGAGCAUUGCCGCGGGGAAGCAGAGGGCCUACGGGUCAUGAACUUCUUAUCUCGGUGAAGACGCAAUGACGGUACCUAGUGAAUAAGCAACGGCUAACUCCGUG